CUACGGGGCGCACCAGUGGGGAAUAUUGCACAAUGGAGGAAACUCUGAUGCAGCAACGCCGCGUGGAGGAUGACACUUUUCGGAGCGUAAACUCCUUUUAUAUAGGAAGAAGAUGACGGUACUAUAUGAAUAAGCGCCGGCUAACUCCGUGCCAGCAGCCGCGGUAAUACGGAGGGCGCAAGCGUUACUCGGAAUCACUGGGCGUAAAGAGCGUGUAGGCGGAUUAAAAAGUCAGAAGUGAAAUCCUAUAGCUUAACUAUAGAACUGCUUCUGAAACUCUUAAUCUAGAAUAUGGGAGAGGUAGAUGGAAUUUCUGGUGUAGGGGUAAAAUCCGUAGAGAUCAGAAGGAAUACCGAUUGCGAAGGCGCCACUCUGGGUCGACACUGACGCUGAGGAACGAAAGCAUGGGUAGCAAACAGGAUUAGAUACCCUAGUAGUC
rnacentral:rRNA from 1 species